rnacentral:rRNA from 1 species
CGGACGGGGGAGUAAUGUCUGGGAAACUGCCCGAUGGAGGGGGAUAACUACUGGAAACGGUAGCUAAUACCGCAUAACGUCGCAAGACCAAAGAGGGGGACCUUAGGGCCUCUUGCCAUCGGAUGUGCCCAGAUGGGAUUAGCUAGUAGGUGGGGUAAUGGCUCACCUAGGCGACGAUCCCUAGCUGGUCUGAGAGGAUGACCAGCCACACUGGAACUGAGACACGGUCCAG